rnacentral:rRNA from 1 species
GAUAAACGCUGGCGGCGCACAUAAGACAUGCAAGUCGAACGGAAGUCGUUGUAAUGAUAUAGACAUGGACUGAGAACUUGUUCAAAGAAAGUGAAAGUUGACUUACAACAAUGGCUUUAGUGGCGGACUGGUGAGUAACACGUAAGCAACCUGCCUAUCAGAGGGGAACAACAGUUAGAAAUGACUGCUAAUACCGCAUAUGCCUAAGUACCACAUGGUACAAUAGGGAAAGGAGCAAUCUGCUGAUAGAUGGGCUUGCGUCUGAUUAGAUAGUUGGUGGGGUAACGGCCUACCAAGUCAACGAUCAGUAGCCGGACUGAGAGGUUGAACGGCCACAUUGGGACUGAGAUACGGCCCAGACUCCUACGGGAGGCAGCAGUCGGGAAUAUUGCGCAAUGGAGGAAACUCUGACGCAGUGACGCCGCGUGCAGGAAGAAGGUUUUCGGAUUGUAAACUGCUUUAGACAGGGAAGAAAUAAAGACAGUACCUGUAGAAUAAGCUCCGGCUAACUACGUGCCAGCAGCCGCGGUAAUACGUAGGGAGCGAGCGUUAUCCGGAUUUAUUGGGUGUAAAGGGUGCGUAGACGGGAAAUUAAGUUAGUUGUGAAAUCCCUCGGCUUAACUGAGGAACUGCAACUAAAACUGGUUUUCUUGAGUGCUGGAGAGGAAAGUGGAAUUCCUAGUGUAGCGGUGAUAUGCGUAGAUAUUAGGAGGAACACCAGUGGCGAAGGCGACUUUCUGGACAGUAACUGACGUUGAGGCACGAAAGUGUGGGGAGCAAACAGGAUUAGAUACCCUGGUAGUCCACACCGUAAACGAUGGAUACUAGGUGUAGGGUGUGAUAAACAUUCUGUGCCGUCGCAAACGCAAUAAGUAUCCCACCUGGGGAGUACGGCCGCAAGGUUGAAACUCAAAGGAAUUGACGGGGGCCCGCACAAGCAGUGGAGUAUGUGGUUUAAUUCGACGCAACGCGAAGAACCUUACCAGGGCUUGACAUAUACAGGAAUAUAUAAGAGAUUAUAUAGCUCUUCGGAGUCUGUAUACAGGUGGUGCAUGGUUGUCGUCAGCUCGUGUCGUGAGAUGUUGGGUUAAGUCCCGCAACGAGCGCAACCCCUGUUCUUAGUUGCCAGCACAUAAUGGUGGGAACUCUAAGAAGACUGCCGGUGAUAAAUCGGAGGAAGGUGGGGACGACGUCAAAUCAUCAUGCCCUUUAUGUCCUGGGCUACACACGUACUACAAUGGCUAUUACAGAGGGAAGCGAAGCCGCGAGGUGAAGCAAAACCCAAAAAAGUAGUCUCAGUUCGGAUUGAAGGCUGAAAUUCGCCUUCAUGAAGCCGGAAUUGCUAGUAAUGGCAGGUCAGCAUACUGCCGUGAAUACGUUCCCGGGCCUU